CGUAUCAGACUCCCGCCCGAGCCCGCCCGAUGUUUUCCGGACCGACCCGAAUAGUCGGGCCGCACUUCACUAGUUGGCCGGGGUUUCAAGCCAUAAAAGCAUUUAUGGUAUAUUAAUUCGAAGCCCCAUUGUAAUGAAAAUUGCUACAUAAACUCUCUGCAAAUUAUGGAAAGCUCGGAUGCCAAAAGUGAUUUAUUAUUCUGCGAGGUUGCUGGAAGGCAGAGCUGUUUGUUUCAAACAAGAUAUGUGGCUAAUAAAUUCGGAUUAGGGCGUUCCUGUUGGACACUUUUAUUCCUCUGUUUUUCCCCUAUGGCUGUAAAGUCUUGCUAAUCCAAGAACCCCCUUUAAUUCAAACCCCGUUAAUCCGUAUCUCCAUAGUGCCGUCUCGUUAUUCCAGAUUAACGCAAUAUACACUAUUAUUGUAUUCAUACCUCGUGAAACUUAGACUCCUGGCUUCCUUCGAGUAAAUUAUGGACACCAUAAAUAUGGUGGAAAAUUUGUUUUUUAAUAUCAUUGUAUUUGAUGUUUGAAAUAAUCGUUCUAGGAUGGCGUUUAAUCGCGUUUUAUUUUUAUUGUCAACAACGGAGUCUCAUCUCUCGCCUUGUAUAGGGAAUUGCACGCAAGGGAAAGGCGAAAGGAAACGUCUUAAGAGGCGGAAACGAAGUAAACGGGUCAAAGUAACCCGCAGACUCGAGAGACAACAGUCUCCGGACAAGGUUCUUGUUAUCCACCGUUGAAAAAGAGCGGCGCCUCGUCAAAGGGAUGAUUUCCUCGGAGAAUAAAGUUCUCCAGUUUCAACAGAAACUGAUUUGCCGAGGUCACUUUCUUCCCAGCUGCUUUCUAUUGCCCCUGUGAUUCACUGUUACUCACCGCCCUCUUUCCCGGAGACAAAAGUUUGGUCGCGGGGACAGGAAUGCUCUCGAGGAUUUCACGAAAAGCCGGACGAGCUGAAUUGCAAGGAGAGAAAACUCACUCUGACGACCUCCUCGGCGGUGCACUGGUCCGACAGCGAGGUGAAUCCGCAGAUAUCCGCGAACAGGAUGCUGGAAGAAAGAUUUUCAAAUAGGCUCUCCGUCGACGGCGGUUCACCGUAAUUAAGCGACGGGUGUUAAUUGGAAUUCAUUAGUGGCACGUCGCCCGACUUAACGACCCACUAGUGUCAGCCCCGAGUUACGUUCUAACGUAUGAUGGACGCGCGUGUAUCAGCUUGAUGCAUCAGGGAGUCGAAUAUCUUCGAAUUACUCGCUCUCCAAACAAGGACCCCGCUCACCUGACAUUCUCGUGUCUCUGAAUGUAAAUUUUGUGAAACAUAGUAUCCUUCGGCUUGCCAGCAAUGUCGGCUUUCAUCUCCAUGGCUACGUGUCUGGGUAGCACGCUCAAUAGGAGCCGUUCCUGGAAAAAAAAAUUAGAGGAAGAUUCUUGUUACACUACACCAGCAUGGUAAACAGGAAACGGUGCACUCUUAGCCAGUGAUGGGUUCCCAGCAGCUAAGUAGUAUAGGGGUGGAUAUAAUAAAAUACAUUAUGUGGCCAGAAGAGUAGAUGGAGAUGUCAGAUCCAUAGGGCAGACGAGUAGAUAUGAAAUAGAAUCAUGGAUAAGUGAUAUAGGGAUGGACAGCAUAGAUGGCCAGACAAGUAAUAUAGGGGCGAUUGCCGUGGGUGGUCAGACGCAUUGUCCAGGACCGCACGUGGCCAAGCGAGGGUGCCGUAGGUGGUCUAACGAAAAUAGAAACGAUGGAACCGUAAAUAGUAACGAUUCUAUUUUAUUUACUUCAGAAUAGCCAAUGGUGGCGAAGUUGGACGAACUCCAAGAGUAUUCACGGACACGCGUAGAAUCGUUGCCUGGAUCCCUCCGGUAUUCACAGCAGUCGGUUAAUUAACCCUGUUAUGCAGAGAACUUGUGUUACACUUAAGUACCCGUGGAGACCUAAGAUGUCGAGUGCAUAGUUGUACCUGUUUCAUGUCAGCCAUUUAACAUGGGAAGUACCGAAUCUGUUGAAAGGAAAACUACCAUCACACGUGUAGUUUAGUGUAAACAUGAAAAUCUAUAUCUUUCCAACAGGGCGCCGAAAGCGUUCGUACGGUACCUAGGCCUAGACGCUGUCGCCCCUGAGCCCGCGCGCUAAGCGCGCUCGGAUUGGCCAAGUGUUUUUCCUUAAUAAUUCAAAAACAAAGCUUCAAAUAAUAUUUUCGCAAAGGAAAAUGUUGUUCAGAAUCACGCCUUCUACCACCCCCUUAAAGGACUAACACCCUUUCUGGGGCACCCUGUAUAUAAAUCGCAAAGACGACUGCCCGUGUCACUUUUCAACUCGAGAACUACUGGGGUUAAAGAUACACUUGUUAACGUCAAAGCGCUUUUCAAAGCUAAGAAACGUGUCGGGCUCGUAUGUGUGUCUCAGAGGCCACUUGGUGGUGAGAAUAUGUAGUUCUAGGAAAUUAGAGAGGAUGGCCGAUGCCGCUAUUGCAAUUAGGAUCGUUGACACCUAAGAGUCACGGGUGUUAUGUUUACUGUUCAAUAACGAGGAGUCCGAUUGCCGAUCGUCGAAGAAGGCGCGUGUGGCCGAUGACCCGAAGUCAUGGUACCGUAUGGCACGUGUAAAGAGAUAAAGGUGUUCCCGAAGGAUCUGGACAGAGUGGGGAAGAUGUUCCAUCUCUUGAUAAGAGGAGUAUGAGAGACGGCAUGGCACUUACCCUAGAACCUUUACCGAACGCGGAUUGCGAAGCAAUCACGGAAUAUAGUUAACACACUCUAUACGUCGUUAGAAAGGUCUUAUUGAAACUAACUCAAAACCGUUGCGUUUGCGCGGCCAAGUGGUCGGAGUGAAAAGUUAUAGGAGUUUCCAUUUCCUAUGGAAAGUCUGACGGUCGCCAUUUUAGCUGCGCGCGCAUGCGCCCAAUAGUAUGUAAUGUCUUUGAAAAUGGCUGCGCUGGUACUAUGUGGCGCAUGCGCGCCUAACAACAGUUUUUUCAGACUUUGACGGUGUAUAUUUCAAAAACGCGAAUUUUCUGGGGGACGAGUGGGUCGUACCUAAUGAAAUUAUAAUUUAUAUUAUUAUUAUUAUUAUUAUUAUUAUUAUUAUUGUUGGUUGAGACUAACAGGGCACUCAGUCCUUGGGGACCAUUGUACCAGGGCCACUAGGCAGCCUCCUUACUGGCUGUGCCAGAUAAUUUAUAUAUUAUUAAAUAUUUAUUAAUUAAAUUAAAUUAAUAAAUAUUUAAUACGAAGAGCAGAUGAUUAUUAAAUUAUUAUGUCUUUCUUAAUUGUAACUCUUUGAUGUCUAUCUCACAAUCAGAUGUUAAAUUAUAAUUUCACUAGGUUAGAUUAUUGGACUAUCGUAAAUGAAAAUAUGACAGGCAUUUAGGUUUCGAUGAUGAAAUAUUCAGAUCCCGUCGUCGCUGUUGGAACGCGGCGAGCAAAUCUACGUCGAUUUGGUUUCUCCUAUUACUAAUAUCGAUACAUUACGUGAUCGAGAGUCUGAAAUUGCAGAGGGCCUUUGGUGUGGUUAAUUUAACGCGGAAUAAAUCGAUCAGUCAGCUCGCGAUAAUAGCUUCUGCACACCUGUAUGACGUAAAAUCGAAUCCUUCCUGAUCGGUUAAUGCGCAACGGUCCCCUUUGCCAUUCGAAGUCACGUAGUUCUACGUUAAAUCCGAUGUAGCGUCCAUUACUUCCUGCACUACAUGUUGGAUUUUCUUCUCAAUACUAGAUAACACCGUCCAACACAUUUUAACACUUAUAGUGUUUUGUACGCUGAUUACGAAUCUGCAAACCGUUUAGCUCCUACACGUACAGUUUUUGAGAAAUUUGAUUUUGAAGAAAAAAACAUUUUUCAGAUUUAAACAAAUUUUCUGACAAAUUAAUUUGGUGUCUUUGUUUUUUUUUUUAUUAAUGGCUUAUUUGUAAGAAGUUAUAAGUCAUAUUCUCGCGCCAUUUUUCAAAUUCACAAAAGCGCGGGAAAAUAUUCGAAUUUAAAAUAGUAACUAUGAAAGUGUAAUAUUAAAGGUACCAAAUUAGUUUGUACACCUAAUGAAAGAUAUUGAAAUUCUAUUUACACUAAAAGAUUUUAAUACAUUAAUGCCCGUUUCCUCCAAAGUGGAUCAAUUCAGAGUUCCUGUAAACUGCGUUCUAUUUUGAACGCAGUUUAAUCUUUAGUCAACGUACUUUGCUUUCCAUCAACGCCACCUUUGUUCCGAUCAACUGAACGUAUACCUUAUGCGUGCUAACCCAAACUAUAUUUGUAUCAAGUGAUGUGAUUGGUGCAUAGCAGUGACUAGACUCAGUGACUUGGAUUUGUAGUCACUGUGCAUAGGUAAUGAGCGUGUCAUAACCAGAAAAAAGCAGCAUAACCAAAGUCUGUCUAACCUUAUUUAUUGAAAAUAAUAAGCUUUAAAUUUAAAUUAAAUUGUUUUUUCCAGAGUUUAGAAUACAUUUAAACGAUCAUUGAACGCGGAGGGAGCCCGAUUUGGCGCCAAUUUUUCAGGAUAUUUUCCAAUUUAUCUGAGAAAGUAGAGAUCCAGCGUAAAAUCGAAUGUUGUACAUAUACCGAAUUAGUCAUUAUUGUAUUUAGAUAGACCGGCCUUCUCACUGUAUUAUAAGUCAACCUUUAACGACAAACAUCCCAAGUCUUUCCUUCUACUCCUCAUGACUCAGCCGAGACAGUCAUCUUCAAACUUUGCACUCACGACCUCAUCCCUUACCGAUCACAGGACUCGCAAUAACUCCACUCUCCUAUUUUUCCGAUUCUAUAAAUUACCCAGCACUUUUCCCUCCGAGUCAGAUUUUUCUGAACCGUUUUAAGAACUAGAAUCUACUACCAGCACGGCGAAUAUUGUAUUAAAAAACUUCGUCUGUAUUCCAUUUUGUAAUUGUAAGAAAUAUCACGAGCGGAAUACAACACGAAUUACACCAUGCGAUAGAGCAGACUUUUAUCUUGA